GCGAACGCUGGCGGCAGGCCUAACACCUGCCAGUCGCACGAACCUUUCGGGGUUAGUGGCGGACGGGUGAGUAACACGUGGGAACGUGCCUUUAGGUUCGGAAUAACUCAGGGAAACUUGUGCUAAUACCGAAUGUGCCCUUCGGGGGAAAGAUUUAUCGCCUUUAGAGCGGCCCGCGUCUGAUUAGCUAGUUGGUUGAGGUAAUGGCUCACCAAGGCGACGAUCAGUAGCUGGUCUGAGAGGAUGAUCAGCCACAUUGGGACUGAGACACGGCCCAAACUCCUACGGGAAGCAGCAGUGGGGAAUCUUGCGCAAUGGGCGAAAGCCUGACGCAGCCAUGCCGCGUGAAUGAUGAAGGUCUUAGGAUUGUAAAAUUCUUUCACCGGGGACGAUAAUGACGGUACCCGGAGAAGAAGCCCCGGCUAACUUCGUG
rnacentral:rRNA from 1 species